CUGACAUGCAGGUGACUAUGUGGGUCUAGGGGCUGGCACAAUUAGGGGAUGUGAGGGUAGGUUGAAAGACCCUCGGAUAGAGGAGCCUCCACAAAUCGGAGGGUCCCCCCAAAAAACUCAAUAUCCAGUCCAGUUGAUGUAAAAAUAAGAGCUCCUGAGCGCUGGGAUUGCAAACAUGGGCCAGCACACUCAAGUUUAUGUAAUACGACAGAGAGGAGGGGGCACAGGGUUUUUGUAGCAAUCCAGGACUCGGCUUCCCCUUCCACUCAGAGAGGUACCAGAUAGCCAGAUAGGUACCCAGAACUUUUUCCUGUGUAUGUUGAUUCCAAGAUGACUGUAUUUAUCUGAUCUAUCUAUCUAUCUAUCUAUCUAUCUAUCUAUCUUUUAAAAAUAUUCUUUUAAAUUUAUUAAUUUAAUUUUUACAUUCCAAUUCAAGUUCCUCCUCCCUCCUCUUCUCUUGAUCUGUCUGUUUGCUACAAUGUAUGGAUCAGAGAUUACAUUCUGGUUCCCCUUUUUACUCUUAUCCAGUCCUGCUUGUUUCUAUACCUGUAUACUUACCUAAUUCUGUAUACAACUUAAAUUAAACUGUGCUAAGUCUCAUAUUUCUAAAUUGCUAUGUAUCUUAAAAUGAUGGUAAACAUUUAAAGUCAUAAAGGUCUAGUUUAACUAUACUUAAAAUAUAAGCUAAGUCUAUACAACUUAAAUUUAACUCAUGUAUCUUUAAAUGAUGAUGAAAGUUUAAAAUCAUAAAGGUCUAUUUCAAAUUAACAAAAUAUUAUACCACUCAGUUCAUCCUGUAAGCUGUUUACAAGGGUACAGCUUUUUUUAUUACAAAAGGGGAUUUUUCUCUAACUAAAGGCAAACUUUUGACUGCUGAGAUACUAAACAGACAGACAGCCCUCAAAUGCUCAGAGAUCUAGAGAACAUGGCAUUUAAAACGUUUUGUUAAAAAGCUUUUUAUAACAGAGAGAUAGGCCAGCUGCUGGCCCCACCCCAUUUCCUCCAAGAAGACUAAUGGGCACUGAAGAAACUUCAUCUCGAGUCAGUGACAAUGCUGGUCACUGAGCAACCCUGCCCUACACCUCACUCCAGGCCGUGGACAAGAGGACAGUGGAAUCAACUUUCCCUGUGUUGCUUGGACCAACAGUAGGCAAGUCUUCCUAUAGCCUGUAAUCCAUAGGUCACAUGCUAUCAGCAAGAAGGCAGGUGUCCUGCAGCCCACUACUGUGGAUGGAGGAUCUUGGGAUGGCUGUCCAUGCAGCCUGCUGGCAAGUCUCUGUUAUUCUUUAAUCAUUGAUUCAGCUCUAAGGAUUCUUGUAAGUUCCAGGGAGUUGAAUUGGAUCCAAACAUACAGGUCUAAGAGACGCCAGGGAGUCCCAUACAGCCUGGACCACAAUGAAACAACCAUCUACCCCAGGACGUGGCAGCACCCCAAUCUUCUCAGAUCCCCCCAAAGACGAUCAACGCCCCAGGUCAGCAGGAAGCAGCCUUGAGAUUUCUUCGUCCCUACUUCCUAACCUGCCACAUCCAAUUCUCCAACUUUUAUAAUAAACAACAGCCGGGAUUGUAAGAACAAUACACCUGGAUGACCCCGCCCCCCUAACAACAAGCAGGGCACACACAGGAAAACUUGCUACGUCAUCACCACAUCACCCGCCAUGCAUUGCGGCCUUCGUGAGGACUCUGCAUAUGUGCGAAACCUCAGUGUGCAUGCGUAGUCUUUCCCUUAAAAGCAACAACUUCCCUGCUGCUCUCUCUUUUACUCUCUCUCUCUGUUUCUUCUUGGCUCUCUCUCACCUAGGCGCUUUUUCUGCCUCUCUGUGGCAACUGGCCAUGGCGGUCAGCCAUUACCCCUGUUCCUCUUCUCUCUUAGUCUCUCUACUCUGCCGAGCUUAUAAUGAAGGACUUUAGAAUUAACAAAGAAAUAACUAAGAAGAAAAACAAUCCUCUCACCCUAAGAACAGGGAGACCUGACUUAAAACCUAACCAAGGUCACAAUGACCCAAGCCCCUGGAAUUUCUUAGCUGGCAGAUAUAACUCCCUUACAAGGCCACAAGACAACCUAACUGAAUACCAAGAAUUCCUAGAGGGCCACCCUGCCCUAGGGUCAUGAAGAUAGAAACAGACUAUCCCACUGAGCCAGGAGACCAUCCGGCCCCAAAGAUAAGAGAUCUCCAAAGGAUCUGUGACUCUGGUCACGUACCCAAACCCCUAAAAGCCUAUGGUUUUUUCUCCUAUAAAAGGAGCCUGCUUUAGAGGAACAGGGCUUCUUCUUUGUCUGUCGGACUGGGAAGCCCGUUUGCGCAAACGUCCCAUAAUAAACUUACCUCUUGUUUUUGCAUCAGCUGGACUGGACAUUGAGUGUUUUGGGGGGGAUCGUCCGAUUUGUAGAGACUCCUCGGUCCGAGGGUCUUUCAUUAAUAAACUAGUUAAUAUGUCUCAUCUGCCUCUCUCUUUUUCUUCAAAAACAUAACACUCCCAUCCCACCUCCCAUCUGCUCCUCAGAGAGGGUAAGGCCUCCC
rnacentral:lncRNA from 1 species